CGCUGUUCUCAUCAUAUACAGGAAGAGAGCCAACGUGACAGAGGAUGUUCCGAAACCAACUCAACACCCUGGCGAGCCAGAGAGCAAUCUGACCUAUGUCACUGUAAACCAUGCUAAUCAGCAGGCCUCUUCUUACAAA